AAGCAAAUUAGAAAGCUGGCUUCUAGUAAUUUCCAUUAAUUGUCCAUAUUCCAAAAAGAAAACCCUAAAGUUUUAUCUGCUACCCAUUUCCCUUUCCCAUUCAGUUCGGGUUCUGCUGCCUCUUCCUCUCCAUUGCUCGUUACACAAAGUUCGGAAUGGCCCCAUCUAUGUAAAAAUCUUCCCUCUUUUUCAAACCUUCCAUAGCCAGAUGAUGAAGACGUGUGCUUCCAAAUCUAGAAACAUGUAGUGUUGAACAUUUGCAAUAAUAGUCCCAAUCUUCGAUUUGUCCCUUCUGUCCGACCUGCAUAUCUUGAUCAUUUUCAACGAGUCUCCCUCAAUUACAACUGAAUCAAGACCCAAACGGACUCCAAAUCUCAACGCUUGAUAACAUACAUACGCCUUCGCGGCAAACAAAGAGAGAGUCGCCUUAUCACAAACAACCAUCAAGGCCAAGAUUUCCCCUGAGGAGUUCCUAGCCACUCCCAAAUCCCGAUCUAGCCUGAUAGACAUCAAAAGCUCCAUCAAAGUUAAUCUUGACGAUUGAUUCGCAUGGAGGUGUCCACUGCUCUUGAAUAUUCAAUACGUUGGUUUCUACUAGUCGAAAACGUUCAGAUACCACAACAGAAUAAUCUACACUACUCACUUGAUGAAUUUCGGAAAACCCAGGGCAGUCCCGAAACAUAUGAAUAGAGUCCUUCACUGAUCUGCGACAGCUUGGGCAUAAUGUACCCACUAUUAUUUUCUUGUACCUUAGGUUAGCAAGUGUAGGCGUGUAAUUCCACAAAAUUCUUUAUAUUGUUGUUUUUAUUUUCGGAAGGAGAUGUAAAUCCCAUAAUUUUUUGUAAAAGUAGUUAGGAUUUGGUUGUAAUAUAUUAUCAUUAGAAAGUAAGGAACCUAUUUGUAAUAGUUUAUAGGCACUUCUCACAGUAAACUCUCCAAUCGGCUUUCUACCCCAAAUUUGAAUAUCCUCAUGAGCAACUCUCGACAAAGGGAUCUGCAGAAUUUUAUUUGCAACCUCAAUUUGAAAGACUUUGGCAACCAAGAGUCUUCUCUACUAGAUAUUCUUUCACCCCAUCCCACGCUCCAACCCAAACCCUUCUAUAGUAGUCCCUGUGUAGCCCAAACACUCUUUUAGGUAUACAAAGGUAGACUUCUUAACCUUGCAUUUAAAAAAUAUGUAAAUGGAAAAUACUUUGCUUUUUAAAAUACAAGCUAAAAGAGAAUUCAAAUAAGUA